rnacentral:rRNA from 1 species
GAUGAACGCUGGCGGCGUGCCUAAUACAUGCAAGUCGAGCGAACAGACGAGAGUGCUUGCACUCUCUGACGUUAGCGGCGGACGGGUGAGUAACACGUGGGUAACCUACCUAUAAGACUGGGAUAACUUCGGGAAACCGGAGCUAAUACCGGAUAAUAUUUAGCUUCGCAUGAAGCAAUAGUGAAAGACGGUUCUGCUGUCACUUAUAGAUGGACCCGCGGUGUAUUAGCUAGUUGGUGAGAUAACGGCUCACCAAGGCAACGAUACAUAGCCGACCUGAGAGGGUGAUCGGCCACACUGGGACUGAGACACGGCCCAGACUCCUACGGGAGGCAGCAGUAGGGAAUCUUCCGCAAUGGACGAAAGUCUGACGGAGCAAUGCCGCGUGAGUGAAGAAGGUUUUCGGAUCGUAAAACUCUGUUGUAAGGGAAGAACAAGUACGUUAGUAACUGAACGUACCUUGACGGUACCUUACCAGAAAGCCACGGCUAACUACGUG